CAAUAGCGUAUAUUAAAGUUGUUGCAGUUAAAAAGCUCGUAGUUGGAUUUCUGGUUGAAGCGACCGGUCGGGCGUUGAUUCGUCUGCACUGGAGUCGGUUUUGGCCAUCCUCUAGGAAAGUGCGUCUGGUAUUAAGUUAUCGGGCGUAUGAUCCUGGUCUUUUACUGUGAAAAAAUUAGAGUGUUUAAAGCAGGCCUUCGCCUUGAAUACAUUAGCAUGGAAUAAUAAGAUAGGACUUUGGUCUAUUUUGUUGGUUUGCGGACCGAAGUAAUGAUUAAUAGGGAUAGUUGGGGGUAUUUAUAUUCCGAUGUCAGAGGUGAAAUUCUUAGAUUUUCGGAAGAUAAACUUAUGCGAAAGCAUUUACCAAGGAUGUUUUCAUUAA
rnacentral:rRNA from 1 species